UUUUAUGGAGAGUUUGAUCCUGGCUCAGGAUGAACGCUGGCGGCGUGCCUAAUACAUGCAAGUCGAGCGAACAGACGAGGAGCUUGCUCCUCUGACGUUAGCGGCGGACGGGUGAGUAACACGUGGAUAACCUACCUAUACGACUGGGAUAACUUCGGGAAACCGGAGCUAAUACCGGAUAAUAUAUUGAACCGCAUGGUUCAAUAGUGAAAGACGGUUUUGCUGUCACUUAUAGAUGGAUCCGCGCCGCAUUAGCUAGUUGGUAAGGUAACGGCUUACCAAGGCAACGAUGCGUAGCCGACCUGAGAGGGUGAUCGGCCACACUGGAACUGAGACACGGUCCAGACUCCUACGGGAGGCAGCAGUAGGGAAUCUUCCGCAAUGGGCGAAAGCCUGACGGAGCAACGCCGCGUGAGUGAUGAAGGUCUUCGGAUCGUAAAACUCUGUUAUUAGGGAAGAACAAAUGUGUAAGUAACUAUGCACGUCUUGACGGUACCUAAUCAGAAAGCCACGGCUAACUACGUGCCAGCAGCCGCGGUAAUACGUAGGUGGCAAGCGUUAUCCGGAAUUAUUGGGCGUAAAGCGCGCGUAGGCGGUUUUUUAAGUCUGAUGUGAAAGCCCACGGCUCAACCGUGGAGGGUCAUUGGAAACUGGA
rnacentral:rRNA from 1 species